GAGGUCAAGGCUCUUCUGAUCGUCCACGCCACAGAGGAUAUUCAGAGAUAUUUUGAAGGCUCGCAGCGGAACAUAAAAAUAUUUGCGACGAUCAUCCUCAGUCACAGAA